UACGAAGGGGGCUAGCGUUGUUCGGAAUUACUGGGCGUAAAGCGCACGUAGGCGGAUUGUUAAGUGAGGGGUGAAAUCCCAGGGCUCAACCCUGGAACUGCCUUUAAAACUGCAUCGCUAGAAUUGUGGAGAGGUAAGUGGAAUUCCGAGUGUAGAGGUGAAAUUCGUAGAUAUUCGCAAGAACACCAGUGGCGAAGGCGGCUCACUGGUCCGGUACUGACGCUGAGGUGCGAAAGCGUGGGGAGCAAACA
rnacentral:rRNA from 1 species